rnacentral:lncRNA from 1 species
CUCAGGAAUACUGUUCCCUGGAUUUUGAAGGAAUAAUUAUUUUAAAAAAAAGUUGGAGAAGAUUAGAAAAAGAUCAAGAUAAGUAACAAUUUUUUAUAAUUCAAAAUAUUAUUGAGUAUAUGACUAAAAGUUAAUUAUUACAUAUGAUAAAUAUAGUAUUGGUAAUACUAGAUCAUUUCUUAAGCUAUGAUACUUAACAAUAUUUAUCUUGUUCAGAGGAAAAUAAAAACAGACACCUACUUCCCAUGUACAAAAAAAUUGGAUUCAACCAAGGGACUGCUCUUCUGAAAUUAACUUUUGAGAGACCUUGGAAUGAGCAUGUGUCCUCCACAAUAGUGGGUGUAGAUUUACUCAGAUUCAAUUAAAGCAGUUCAAAUUCUGGAUACACCAUUUUAUACAACAAAAUAUUUAACUUCUGUUUUUCAGUAUUUGCUGCUUUCUGUAAUUCUUUUAGGUAAGUUUUAUUUCUUUUUUCCAAAAAUGAAACUGAGUUAUUGAGUGCAUUGGGACAAGGCACUUAGAGCUAUAGUGUCAAAAGGCAUAAAUGGGGAUAACAAUACUGGGAGAAAAAUCCGUAGAAUUUGGGGGUCUGGUUUGGGCUUGUUGAGUAGGCUGGAAGUAAUGUGUUUAC